rnacentral:rRNA from 1 species
UGCCAGCCGCCGCGGUAAUACGGAGAUGGCAACCGUUGUUCGGAAUUACUGGGCUUAAAGCGCACGUAGGCGGAUAGAUAAGUUGAUUGUGAAAUCCCAUGGCUUACCCAUGGAACGGCAGUCAAAACUGUUUGUCUCGAGUGCGGAAUGUGACAUGUAGCGGUGAAAUGCAUAGAUAUGUCAUAGAACACCAAUUGCGAAGGCAGCUGACUAGUCCUCAUUUGACGCUGAGGCACGAAAGCGUGGGGAGCGAACAGGAUUAGAUA